AUGAUGAUUUAGAUUAAAAGUUUAUGGUUUUCGUCCGAAUAAUCUUGACGAUAAUAUUCUAGGGCGGUCUGAUUUU
rfam:Atta colombica isolate Treedump-2 unplaced genomic scaffold scaffold106, whole genome shotgun sequence.